UACGGGGGGAGCAAGCGUUGUUCGGAUUUACUGGGCGUAAAGGGCGCGUAGGCGGUCAGCACGAGUCAGUUGUGAAAUCUCCGGGCUUAACUCGGAAAGGUCAACUGAUACUGUGCGACUAGAGUGCGGAAGGGGCAACUGGAAUUCUCGGUGUAGCGGUGAAAUGCGUAGAUAUCGCUUGGAACGCCAACGGUGAAAACAGGUUGCUGGGGGUGUGCUGACGCUGAGACACGAAAGCCAGGGGAGCGAACGGG
rnacentral:rRNA from 1 species